rnacentral:rRNA from 1 species
UACGUAGGUGGCAAGCGUUGUCCGGAUUUACUGGGCGUAAAGAGCGCGCAGGCGGCUGGUCAAGUCCGAUGUGAAAUCUCCCGGCUCAACUGGGAAACUGCAUCGGAAACUGAUCGGCUUGAAGGUGGGAGAGGGUAGUGGAAUUCCCGGUGUAGUGGUGAAAUGCGUAGAUAUCGGGAGGAACACCCGUAGCGAAGGCGGCACUCUGGGCCGGAACUGACGCUGAGGAGCGAAAGCGUGGGGAGCAAACAGG